rnacentral:rRNA from 1 species
GACGAACGCUGGCGGCGUGCUUAACACAUGCAAGUCGAACGGAAAGGCCCUGCUUUUGUGGGGUUCUCGAGUGGCGAACGGGUGAGUAACACGUGAGUAACCUGCCCUUGACUUUGGGAUAACUUCAGGAAACUGGGUCUAAUACCGGAUAGGAGCUCCUGCUGCAUGGUGGGUGUUGGAAAGUUUCGGCGGUUGGGGAUGGACUCGCGGCUUAUCAGCUUGUUGGUGGGGUAGUGGCUUACCAAGGCUUUGACGGGUAGCCGGCCUGAGAGGGUGACCGGCCACAUUGGGACUGAGAUACGGCCAAGACUCCUACGGGAGGAAGCAGUGGGGAAUAUUGCACAAUGGGCGGAAGCCUGAUGCAGCAACGCCGCGUGCGGGAUGACGGCCGUCGGGUUGUAACCCGCUUUCGCCUGUGACGAAGCGUGAGUGACGGUAAUGGGUAAAGAAGCACCGGCUAACUACGUG